GGUUCCUAUCGUUAUUGCUUCCGUUGUUGGCCUGGGGCGCCGCGGAUGACCCUACAUAGCCCUUGGCCGGCCACCGGGAAGAUUGCGUCUCGUACUGACGAUCGUAACAAAGACGCACCGUGCUUUCCUUCUGAGGGUUUAGUCGCCCUAAUACGUGCAGCAGACUAGUCAUGUGGAAGUUUGUCUGCUGAAAGUAAGCGCCCUCCCGGGAGGAUGUGUUGAACUUUUGGGUUGGUGACUAAACUCUGCUUGUGCUAACUGCCCAGCAAUGACUCAGUUGAGAUCCAGAAGCCAGGAAGAAGGAAGGGGGCCUACUUAUUGGCCAAGAUGGCUGAUCGGGAUGAGUGCAGAUAUGAUUUUAGGCCGUGGGCCUGAGGUAUGUCCUCUGACCUCACCAGUGUCCUACAGAACUCCCCAUAUGGCUUUGGGCAGCUCUGAACUUAACUCUGGUAGCCAGCCUAUGUCUUAAGUUAUGGACUGGAUUUGGGUUGGCCUGGGUUUGACUGGUCUGUGUGUGGUAGUGGCACUGGAGAUGGGGAACCUCUAAAACUCAACAUCUCUACCUGACUGUACACGGUCUUAAAAGAUAUAAUUAUGAGUUGGGGGGGGGGGAAGGCCCUGGGUUCAGUCCCCAGCUCCGAAAAAAAAGAAAAAAUGAGUUGGGGGGGGUGAUAGUGGUCCCUCCCUAUAGUUGAAGGCCAGCCUGGUCUACAAAGCAAGUUCCAGGGUGGCCAGAACUAUUAAACAAAUAAACCCUGUCUUGAAAAACUAAGAAGGAGAAAGAGUGAUCUAGGAGGGGAACUGGCUGUAGUAGAUGCUGUGACAUAAAUAAACUUGUCAAUUUUU
rnacentral:lncRNA from 1 species